GGCUGAAAAUAGCCAACACAAAGCGUAUUAACGCCAUGGGCGGCGGCGCUGUCGCUAGAGCACGGCGGAGCCGCCAUGCCAGAAUUAUAAAACUGGCCAAAUGGUCUCGAAGACUGAUUUUGGGUUUGUUUAGAACAUUUAUAGGUACUAUUAACGUAUUUUAAUUUCCAAAGAAAAAUUCAAGGAACCCGAGAAUCGCUCGUAGGCGCAGUUGAACAACUUAGCUUUUCGAACAUCAAAUCGAGUAAGAAUCCCUCAUCCUAUUCCCUAUCAUAGAAUUGAAGUUUAAAUAAAUAAUAAAACGAUAUUUUGUGUGAAUUUAGGAAAUGUGCAUAAUUAAUUACGGAUUGCACCAAAACCGAAAAUUAUCUACAAU
rnacentral:lncRNA from 1 species